rnacentral:rRNA from 1 species
UACGGGGGGGGCAAGCGUUGUUCGGAAUUACUGGGCGUAAAGGGCUCGUAGGCGGCCAACUAAGUCAGACGUGAAAUCCCUCGGCUUAACCGGGGAACUGCGUCUGAUACUGGAUGGCUUGAGUGUGGGAGAGGGAUGCGGAAUUCCAGGUGUAGCGGUGAAAUGCGUAGAUAUCUGGAGGAACACCGGUGGCGAAGGCGGCAUCCUGGACCAUUACUGACGCUGAGUGAGCGAAAGCCAGGGGAGCAAACGGG